ensembl:lncRNA
CUGUAUGUGUCCUUUUGAGAGGCUGGAGUGAAGGUGGCUGCUCACGGGUUUUGCUCCACACUUGUGAUUCUGGCAGAGAAAUUCCAGAACCUUUGUUGCUCGUGCUGCCUCACCUCACCGCAUCCCAGUCUUCGGAGGGAAUCUGCCAGGCCAUGGAAUGAAAGAUCUGUCGGUUGCAGCACUGGUGCCCAGCCCGGCACACACUCACUGGCCACCCCUUCUGAAUGGACUCGGAAUCCACAGAUGAAGGCGGUAGCUUCCGUGGGUAGCUGUAUUCUGGCACCAGAAAUGUCCCCCCGCCCCCAUGUUUUGUGAACCCACUUGCGUUCCACAUCCCAGGCGGGACCGGCAGCUUGCUCAUCUCUGCUGCCCAGUUCCCUCAGACGCUUUGCCAUUCGUGAGAAAUCACUCAG